rnacentral:rRNA from 1 species
UCAAGUGAAGAAGCGCAUACGGUGGAUGCCUUGGCAGUCAGAGGCGAUGAAAGACGUGGUAGCCUGCGAAAAGCUUCGGGGAGUCGGCAAACAGACUGUGAUCCGGAGAUAUCUGAAUGGGGGAACCCAGCCAUCAUAAGAUGGUUAUCUUGUACUGAAUACAUAGGUGCAAGAGGCGAACCAGGGGAACUGAAACAUCUAAGUACCCUGAGGAAAAGAAAUCAACCGAGAUUCCCUUAGUAGUGGCGAGCGAACGGGGACCAGCCCUUAAGUUGUAUUGAGAUUAGCGGAACGUUCUGGAAAGGACGGCCAUAGUGGGUGAUAGCCCUGUACGCGAAAAUCCCUUUGCAAUGAAAUCGAGUAGGACGGGGCACGAGAAACCUUGUCUGAAUAUGGGGGGACCAUCCUCCAAGGCUAAAUACUACUGACUGACCGAUAGUGAACCAGUACCGUGAGGGAAAGGCGAAAAGAACCGCGGAGAGCGGAGUGAAAUAGAUCCUGAAACCGUAUGCGUACAAGCAGUGGGAGCCCACUUUGUUGGGUGACUGCGUACCUUUUGUAUAAUGGGUCAGCGACUUAUUUUCAGUGGCGAGCUUAACCGAAUAGGGGAGGCGUAGCGAAAGCGAGUCUUAAUAGGGCGUCUAGUCGCUGGGAAUAGACCCGAAACCGGGCGAUCUAUCCAUGGGCAGGUUGAAGGUUGGGUAACACUAACUGGAGGACCGAACCGACUACCGUUGAAAAGUUAGCGGAUGACCUGUGGAUCGGAGUGAAAGGCUAAUCAAGCUCGGAGAUAGCUGGUUCUCCUCGAAAGCUAUUUAGGUAGCGCCUCAUGUAUCACUGUAGGGGGUAGAGCACUGUUUCGGCUAGGGGGUCAUCCCGACUUACCAAACCGAUGCAAACUCCGAAUACCUACAAGUGCCGAGCAUGGGAGACACACGGCGGGUGCUAACGUCCGUCGUGAAAAGGGAAACAACCCAGACCGUCAGCUAAGGUCCCAAAGUCAUGGUUAAGUGGGAAACGAUGUGGGAAGGCUUAGACAGCUAGGAGGUUGGCUUAGAAGCAGCCACCCUUUAAAGAAAGCGUAAUAGCUCACUAGUCGAGUCGGCCUGCGCGGAAGAUGUAACGGGGCUCAAACCAUGCACCGAAGCUACGGGUAUCAUCUUUUGAUGAUGCGGUAGAGGAGCGUUCUGUAAGCCUGUGAAGGUGAGUUGAGAAGCUUGCUGGAGGUAUCAGAAGUGCGAAUGCUGACAUGAGUAACGACAAUGGGUGUGAAAAACACCCACGCCGAAAGACCAAGGUUUCCUGCGCAACGUUAAUCGACGCAGGGUUAGUCGGUCCCUAAGGCGAGGCUGAAAAGCGUAGUCGAUGGAAAACAGGUUAAUAUUCCUGUACUUCUGGUUAUUGCGAUGGAGGGACGGAGAAGGCUAGGCCAGCCUGGCGUUGGUAGUCCAGGUUUAAGGUGGUAGGCUGAGAUCUUAGGUAAAUCCGGGAUCUUAAGGCCGAGAGCUGAUGACGAGUGUUCUUUUAGAACACGAAGUGGUUGAUGCCAUGCUUCCAAGAAAAGCUUCUAAGCUUCAGGUAACCAGGAACCGUACCCCAAACCGACACAGGUGGUUGGGUAGAGAAUACCAAGGCGCUUGAGAGAACUCGGGUGAAGGAACUAGGCAAAAUGGCACCGUAACUUCGGGAGAAGGUGCGCCGGUGGAGGUGAAGCAUUUACUGCGUAAGCCCCUGCCGGUCGAAGAUACCAGGCCGCUGCGACUGUUUAUUAAAAACACAGCACUCUGCAAACACGAAAGUGGACGUAUAGGGUGUGACGCCUGCCCGGUGCCGGAAGGUUAAUUGAUGGGGUUAGCGCAAGCGAAGCUCUUGAUCGAAGCCCCGGUAAACGGCGGCCGUAACUAUAACGGUCCUAAGGUAGCGAAAUUCCUUGUCGGGUAAGUUCCGACCUGCACGAAUGGCGUAACGAUGGCGGCGCUGUCUCCACCCGAGACUCAGUGAAAUUGAAAUCGCUGUGAAGAUGCAGUGUAUCCGCGGCUAGACGGAAAGACCCCGUGAACCUUUACUAUAGCUUUGCACUGGACUUUGAAUUUGCUUGUGUAGGAUAGGUGGGAGGCUUUGAAGCGUGGACGCCAGUUCGCGUGGAGCCAACCUUGAAAUACCACCCUGGCAACUUUGAGGUUCUAACUCAGGUCCGUUAUCCGGAUCGAGGACAGUGUAUGGUGGGUAGUUUGACUGGGGCGGUCUCCUCCUAAAGAGUAACGGAGGAGUACGAAGGUGCGCUCAGACCGGUCGGAAAUCGGUCGUAGAGUAUAAAGGCAAAAGCGCGCUUGACUGCGAGACAGACACGUCGAGCAGGUACGAAAGUAGGUCUUAGUGAUCCGGUGGUUCUGUAUGGAAGGGCCAUCGCUCAACGGAUAAAAGGUACUCCGGGGAUAACAGGCUGAUACCGCCCAAGAGUUCAUAUCGACGGCGGUGUUUGGCACCUCGAUGUCGGCUCAUCACAUCCUGGGGCUGAAGCCGGUCCCAAGGGUAUGGCUGUUCGCCAUUUAAAGUGGUACGCGAGCUGGGUUUAGAACGUCGUGAGACAGUUCGGUUCCUAUCUGCCGUGGACGUUUGAGAUUUGAGAGGGGCUGCUCCUAGUACGAGAGGACCGGAGUGGACGAACCUCUGGUGUUCCGGUUGUCACGCCAGUGGCAUUGCCGGGUAGCUAUGUUCGGAAAAGAUAACCGCUGAAAGCAUCUAAGCGGGAAACUUGCCUCAAGAUGAGAUCUCACUGGAACCUUGAGUUCCCUAAAGGGCCGUCGAAGACUACGACGUUGAUAGGUUGGGUGUGUAAGCGCUGUGAGGCGUUGAGCUAACCAAUACUAAUUGCCCGUGAGGCUUGACCAU